UUAAAUGGCUGCAGUAUACUGACUGUACAAAGGUAGCAUAAUCAAUUGAUUUUUAAAUGGAAUCUGGAAUGAAAGGAUUAAUGAAAUAUAUACUGUCUCAUAUUUAUUUUAUGAAUUUAAAAUUUUAAUAAAAAUGUUAAAAUUUUUUUAUGGGACGAUAAGACCCUAUAGAAUUUUAUAUUAAUUUAAUUUUGUAUUUAACUAUAAAAUUUAAUUUAAUAUUUAGUUGGGAGAAUUAUUAAAUUUAAAAAAUUUUAAUUAAAAAAAAAGUUUAAUUAAAGAAAAAAAUUUUGAUCUUUAAUUUAAAAUUAAUAGAAUAAAUUACCUUAGGGAUAACAGCGUUAUAUUUUUUUAUAGAUCGUAUAGAAAAAAAUGAUUGCGACCUCGAUGUUGAAUUAAGAUAAAUUUUAAAUGUAGAAA
rnacentral:rRNA from 1 species